rnacentral:rRNA from 1 species
AAAGUCUAGACGGUGGAUAUCUUGGUUCCCACGACGAUGAAGAACGCAGCGAAGUGCGAUAAGCAGUGCGAAUUGCAGAACCGUGAGUCAUCAGAUUUUUGAACGCAACUGGCGCCAGUGGGCUCGCCCACAGGCAUGCUCGUUUCAGUG